rnacentral:rRNA from 1 species
AUGGCGACCGGCGCACGGGUGAGUAACACGCAUCCAACCUGCCGAUAACUCGGGGAUAGCCUUUCGAAAGAAAGAUUAAUACCCGAUGGUAUAAUCAGACCGCAUGGUUUGAUUAUUAAAGAAUUUCGGUUAUCGAUGGGGAUGCGUUCCAUUAGGCAGUUGGUGAGGUAACGGCUCACCAAACCUUCGAUGGAUAGGGGUUCUGAGAGGAAGGUCCCCCACAUUGGAACUGAGACACGGUCCAA